AAAUUCAUAUGGAAGAAGAACGGAAAAAAAAAAUUGUAACUUAUUUUCAACGUGAAUUUUUCUUAAAUUUAUGCUUCUCUUUCUCGUCUCCUCUUUGCUUUUUCGUUCAUCAUCUU
rnacentral:ribozyme from 14 species